CCUAGCCCUCCGCUUGCCGCCUCACCUCACCUUCCCCGGUGAGCGCCCUCUCUCACCUUAGCCAAACUGCCUUCUUCCCAGGGCUUAGCUGGUCUCUUCUCUUGGUCUCCGGUGCCUCCUUUCAUACCAGGGAGGAAACGUCCCCAAACAGACCUUCCUUUUGAGCGAUAUGGUCCCCCAAAGAACUAUAGGCAAAAUGAAACUCAGAAUUUGGGGUCUGACUUAACCAGAACUUCUGCCCUCCUGGGCAGUUUUGUUUCUCUGGAGCUUUCCCCCUAGAAGCUGAGAGCACUUGAAAGAAGCUACUUCUGGGCCUUAGGCUUCCACCAGGGGUCCUGGGACCCCAUCCCUAGCCUAUCAUGCUUUGACACUUGUCCUGGUAGAGGCUGGAGUUCCAAGUGCUCUGGUUGGAAAGGGAAAGAACUCAUUGUUGAAGGAAAUGCUUCUAGGCUUUGUCCAGUCUGGAUGGAGAUGGGGAAGAAUUCAACCAGUUUCCAGCAUCUCCCCUACCUUCCACGGGCCUUGUCUGAGUCUCCAUGCUCCCAUUCAGGGGCUUGCAUUAAGCUCUGGGCUCUUCCUCAGGCCCAAUCUCUGCUAGAAGAAAGCUGGUCUCUUGCCAUCAGUGCCCCAUGUCCUCUUUGGGGCUCAGAAGGUCCUAUAUUCUCUACCUGGAAGAUAGAAUGACCAAAUUCCACACAUUUAUCAAGACCUCCUAGGUUAAAGCCCCUCUGAGAAGCCUUCUCUGAUAUCUCUAGAACACAACGUCUCCCUGGCUUUCUGAAUCCCCCUGGCAUUUAUAGCCUAAGCUACAUAUGUUUUUGUGUAGUUUUAAUUUUUUCCCCUUAUAUCCAUUGGUCUUUAUCUCAUCAAUGAGCUUGGAAGAUGCUUGGGGACAAGAACUGUGCCUAGCACAAUUCUAACACAUAGGAGUUAGGAAAGCCCCUGUGGACUAAUAAUUUAGAUACAACUAUAAAGGCAUUUAUACAACUGACUUCAAAUACAAGUUGUCAUAAAAAUUCAACAGAAAAAAAAAGAAUUUGGGAGAACACACUAAAGUAUGUGGAAAAAAUCGAAGCCUAGUUCAAAAUGAUCCAGUUUAGUGAGUAGCAAAGUGGUACAGACUCGUUGCAAAUUUGUUCUUAAUUUCAUCCUCUAGCUCUGUGAUUCAUCUUUGCCAAUAGACUGUGUCUACAUAUAAGAGCUUUGGAUUCCUUCCAGCAAUCAUGGUCCAUCUAUGAGUACAAGUUAAGCUCUCCACCCACUGUGGGAAAAUUUCUUUUCACCAGCAACGGGAAUUGACAUAAGAAAAAUAAAAUUUAAAAUUUAAAUUGACAAAGCCAAAAUAAACUAUGGAAAUUAUUAAAAUUCUAAAGCCAAUUGAACACCAACAUUAAUAUUUUACCCAUCUGUGACUCCAAACAACUAAUUAAAAACCUCUAAUUUGUGACUCAAACUGGAAUUAGACCUAUAUGUGGCACACAUAUGCAAAUCACUGAUUUGGAAAUUGAUCGUCCAACAAUCUCACUAUCCAUACCAUACCCAAGAAACUGAAAAGAAGGGGAACUAAACCACUAAAUAGCCAGAAUUGAUGUUAUAUAAAGCUAUGCAUUUUGUGCACUGUAGAGUCCUUCUUACUCCAUGUCUGCUAAUUCAUAGUUUAGAUAUUGUAUUAACACGUAAUGGCAUCUGACCUCACCAAUUAGAUGCAGAAAACUAGAGGUGAGAUAGGAAAGCAGCAGUUGUUGAUGAAGCACAAUGAGAACAGGAAAAAGGGAGAGUAAGAGAGGACA
rnacentral:lncRNA from 1 species